UACAGAGGGUGCGAGCGUUGUCCGGAAUUACUGGGCGUAAAGGGCGCGUAGGCGGCCUGAUAAGUAGGGGGUGAAAUUCCGUGGCCCAACCACGGAACUGCCUUCUAAACUGCCAGGCUUGAGCACGGUAGAGGCAGAUGGAAUUCCCGGUGUAGCGGUGGAAUGCGUAGAGAUCGGGAAGAACACCAGUGGCGAAGGCGGUCUGCUGGGCCGUUGCUGACGCUGAUGCGCGACAGCGUGGGGAGCAAACAGG
rnacentral:rRNA from 1 species